GGUUUGCCGGCCUGGAUCCCGGGUGCAGACAUGGCACCACUUGGCAAAAGCCAUGCUGUGAGGCAAUUGCAAUCUUACCUGGAGUGACCUGGGAUACAGUAUUAAUUAGUUUCAGCAUAUUACUACCAUUGGUAUAAAUGGCAUUUUGGGCUUAGAAUCCAAAGUCUGUGAAGGUUGCUGGUGAGGAAGUGACAUGUGGAGCUGUGGCAGCCACACUCUGAUUAUGAGGGGACAAGCCUAAGGGCAAAGGCCAAUAGUCUGAGAAUGGAAGAACAGAAAGAUGGAAACAAUUGGAAUCCUGAAGAUGCUACUGAAUUGCUGACCUAAAUACCCUGGCACUGCUCUUCUUCCAGCCUCCUUGAUAUGUGAGAUAAUAAAUUCCCUUAUUGCUGAAUGAAGCUUAAAUUGAGUUUUCUGUUAUUUGUGGCUGAAAUCGUCCUUACUGAGACCCACCAUACCCCUCAUUUAUACUUCCUCUAGAAUCCCAUGCUUUCUUCUAUCACGCUUUCAUUUUUUAAAAUAGCUUUAUUGAUGUAUAAUUUACAUACCAUAAAGGUCACCCAUUUAAAGUACGCAAUUCAAUGGUCUUUAACAUAUUUACUGAGUUGCAUAACUAUUGCCACUAUCUAAUUUUAGAAUAUAUUAUCACCCCCCCCCCCCAAAAGAAACUCUGUGCCUCAUUAGCAGUCUCACCCUGAAUCCACUAGCUCUAGGCAACAGUAAUCUAUUUUCUGCUUCCGUGGUGGUUUUACCUAUUCUGGACAUCUCAUAUAACUGGAAUC